rnacentral:rRNA from 1 species
UACGUAGGGACCGAGCGUUGUCCGGAUUCAUUGGGCGUAAAGAGCUCGUAGGCGGCCACUCAAGUCGAAUGUGAAACCUCGAGGCUUAACCUCGAGCCUGCAUUCGAUACUGGGCGGCUAGAGUCUGGUAGGGGGAUCUGGAAUUCCUGGUGUAGCGGUGGAAUGCGCAGAUAUCAGGAGGAACACCCGUGGCGAAGGCGGUUCUCUGGGACGGUACUGACGCUGAGACGCGAAAGCGUGGGGAGCGAACAGG